AUGGGGCAGGAGCAUCGCACGCUUUCCUUGUGUGCACGCCCGGUAGCGAGAGCUACCCGGCCGCACCCCAUCCACCGCAACGCACCUAUGUCAUACAGUUUGGCCUGGCCGGCUAACCAGCCGACUUCCCCACAGCAACGGGUAGCUGAGUAGCUGUAACACUAGUCUCUUUGUUCAGCUACACAUGGAUGACCGGGCAACUUCACAAAACCAGCGCCCUUUGGAACUCCUUCUCCACAAGCAGUUCAGGGUAAGGCUAAACACAUGACUCGCCACCAUCUUAUGAGGCCAUAGACUUCUUCAUCAACAGUGUUUUCCAGAUUGUGCUGAACUUCCCAGGUGUGUGACAGCUGCAACUUAUCCUGCUGAUUGCUUGGUGGAGUAUUUAAGCGGGAGGCUACCAGUACUUCGACGCCAGAGUGUUUGUCUUCUGUGGUAACAAGAUCAGAACCAGGACUUUUGGAUUUAUGUCUUUGAGCCACAGAUUCUGUGAGCUAAGUGUUUUCUGGUUUAACUUCGUUUUGUGGAUUUCGUUCUCUACUUCAUUUUCGUCUGGAUUUUCGACCAAGCUGGCAGUUUCCUGCAACGCUCAUCUCCUGGACCAAGAACAAAGCGCUACCUGUCCACCCUCCACCGCAAGUAUCAGCACAAGGAAACAGCAUCACCUUUCUCCAAGCACAAUUAAGUCACUGCCUAAUGAUCAACUAAGUAGACUGGACUUCAACAACCCGAGUUCAGAAUCCCUCUAUCCCUGGCUACCCGACCACAUCCAUUCAGUUACCUCCAGUUCCGAGCUUCUUAUCCAGUCUGCGUUUGCAGAAAAUCCUGACUCUCUCUCCGCAAGAGAACUUCACGGAUUAUCUUCUCAGUUGGCUGCAUUCGGGUUUCAAGUCUCCUGUCGCUAACUGUGAACGAACCUGGCACAACCUACACCGUACUCCCCUCCAAGAUCAUCCACCUGGUGCCACCUCCACCUCAAGUGCAAGUAAAACAGAAUUACCUGGACCUUUUACUUACCCGACAUGCUCCCAGAGUUUUCCAUCAUCUCACUUCUCCUCUCCCCUGGCGGAUCUCCUAAUUACCCUCUAAACUCACUUCGAUCACUCCUGGAACAACAACGCCACACAAACCAACAGAUUGAACAGAUGUCCUCUUUACUUCAGCAUGCUCUGAACACCCUAAGCCCCGCUGCACCAGAGGGUGCCGCUAAGUCCGCCAUCUCACAGCAACUUCUUCAUUCAGGACUCCUUUCUGGAAAGGCACUAAGAUGGGCUGAGGCUCGCUUUACCGAUUAUAAUCGCUUCGGCUGCACUUAUAAUGAUUUUAUAAGUGGAUUCAAGCAGAUUUUUGACACCGAAUUAGAUCGGGCAAAUACAGCCCGCCGUCUGUGGGCAUUAAAACAAAGAAAUAAACCAAUUUCAGAGUUUUCUAUUGAGUUUCGUACAUUAGCAGCUGCUUCAGGUUGGGAUACCUGCGCUCUUAAAGCCGCCUUUUCCCAGUCCCUUGACGAAUCUUUGAAGGAUGAAUUAGUUUUGCUUGAUAAACCCAAGACUAAAUGAAUUUAUAGCUUUAGCUACUCGAGUUGAUAAUAGUUUGAGAGAUAGAAGUAAGUCACGUUUUUAAAGGUUUGCUGUAAGAUCACAGGCACCUCUGAGCCCAGCUGCAGCACCUCGCCCUGAACCAUUUACACCUUCUCCAGAACCCAUGCAAAUUGGUCGGACUCGGCUCUCCCCAGAGGAACGUCAAAGAACAAUGGAACCCAAACAGUGUUUAUACUGUGGCACACACAGACACUUCAUCGCCUCAAGCCCACUGCGACCAAAAGAGAGGGUCCGCCAGUUGUAAAGUGGGAACCCGACGGACCACCAUUUCACCCCUACCAAUAACAGAUUCACCAUACCAGCUACCAUCUUGUCCUCCCAAGACUCACUCCAUUUAUCUGCUCUCACUGACUCAGGAAUUGAGCAAAACUUAAUCGGCCAACGCUUGGUGGAACAGGCUCAGAUUGACACAGAACUCCUUCCUAUCCCUCACCUGGUUUCUGCCAUUAACGGUAAGAACCUUCAACACAUCACACAC